UACAGAGGUCUCAACCGUUGUUCGGAUUCAUUGGGCGUAAAGGGUGCGUAGGUGGCGGGGUAAGUCAGGUGUGAAAUCUCGGGGCUCAACCCCGAAACUGCACUUGAUACUGCCUUGCUCGAGUACUGGAGAGGAGAUUGGAAUUUACGGUGUAGCAGUGAAAUGCGUAGAUAUCGUAAGGAAGACCAGUGGCGAAGGCGAAUCUCUGGACAGUUACUGACACUGAGGCACGAAGGCCAGGGGAGCAAACGGG
rnacentral:rRNA from 1 species